rnacentral:rRNA from 1 species
GACGAACGCUGGCGGCGUGCUUAACACAUGCAAGUCGAACGGAAAGGCCCUGCUUUUGUGGGGUGCUCGAGUGGCGAACGGGUGAGUAACACGUGAGUAACCUGCCCUUGACUUUGGGAUAACUUAAGGAAACUGGGGCUAAUACCGGAUAGGAUCUCCUGCUGCAUGGUGGGGGUUGGAAAGUUUCGGCGGUUGGGGAUGGACUCGCGGCUUAUCAGCUUGUUGGUGGGGUAGUGGCUUACCAAGGCUUUGACGGGUAGCCGGCCUGAGAGGGUGACCGGCCACAUUGGGACUGAGAUACGGCCCAGACUCCUACGGGAGGCAGCAGUGGGGAAUAUUGCACAAUGGGAGGAAGCCUGAUGCAGCAACGCCGCGGGCGGGAUGACGGCCUUCGGGUUGUAAACCGCUUUCGCCUGUGACGAAGCGUGAGUGACGGUAAUGGGUAAAGAAGCACCGGCUAACUACGUG